UUCCGGUUGACCCUGCCGCAGGAAUUGCUAUUGGGAUUCGAUUAAGCCAUGCGAGUCGAGAGGGUUCGGCCCUCGGCAGACGGCUCAGUAACACGCGGAUAAUCUGCCCUUGGGUGGAGGAUAACCUCGGGAAACUGAGAAUAAUACUCCAUAGAUCUAGGAUGCUGGAAUGCACUUAGAUUGAAAGUUCCGACGCCUAAGGAUGAGUCUGCGGACUAUCAGGUAGUAGUCAGGGUAAAGGCCUGACUAGCCUACGACGGAUACGGGUUGUGAGAGCAAUAACCCGGAGACGAUAUCUGAGACACGAUAUCGGGCCCUACGGGGCGCAGCAGGCGCGAAACCUUCACAAUGUGCGAAAGCACGAUGAGGGGAUCCCAAGUGCUUGCUCGUAAGAGUAAGCUGUUUUUAUGUCUAAAAAGCAUAGAGAGUAAGGGCUGGGUAAGACGGGUGCCAGCCGCCGCGGUAAUACCUGCAGCUCAAGUUGUGACCACUAUUAUUGGGCCUAAAACGUUCGUAGCCGGUUUGGUAAAUGCCUGGGUAAAUCGUGUAGCUUAACUAUACGAAUUCCGGGUAGACUGCCAAACUUGAGACCGGGAGAAGCUAGAGGUACUCCUGGGGUAGAGGUGAAAUUCUGUAAUCCUGGGGGGACCACCAGUGGCGAAGGCGUCUAGCUAGAACGGGUUUGACGGUGAGGAACGAAGCCCUGGGGCGCAAACCGGAUUAGAUACCCGGGUAGUCCAGGGUGUAAACGCUGCUUGCUUGAUGUUAGUUGGGCUCCGAGCCCAAUUAGUGUCGGAGAGAAGUUGUUAAGCAAGCUGCCUGGGAAGUACGAUCGCAAGAUUGAAACUUAAAGGAAUUGGCGGGGGAGCACAGCAACGGGUGGAGCGUGCGGUUUAAUUGGAAUCACGCCGG
rnacentral:rRNA from 1 species